AACGAACGCUGGCGGCAUGCCUAACACAUGCAAGUCGAACGAGACCUUCGGGUCUAGUGGCGCACGGGUGCGUAACGCGUGGGAACCUGCCCUUAGGUUCGGAAUAACUCCCCGAAAGGGGUGCUAAUACCGGAUAAUGUCUUCGGACCAACGAUUUAUCGCCUUUGGAUGGGCCCGAGUUGGAUUAGCUAGUUGGUAGGGUAAAAGCCUACCAAGGCGACGAUCCAUAGCUGGUCUGAGAGGAUGAUCAGCCACACUGGGACUGAGACACGGCCCAGACUCCUACGGGAGGCAGCAGUGGGGAAUAUUGGACAAUGGGCGAAAGCCUGAUCCAGCAAUGCCGCGUGAGUGAUGAAGGCCUUAGGGUUGUAAAGCUCUUUUACCCGGGAUGAUAAUGACAGUACCGGGAGAAUAAGCUCCGGCUAACUCCGUG
rnacentral:rRNA from 1 species